GAUGAACGCUGGCGGCGUGCCUAAUACAUGCAAGUCGAGCGAACGGACGAUAAUCUUGCUUCUCUGAUGUGAGCGGAGCACGGGUGAGUAACACGUGUAUAACCUACCUAUAAGACUGGGAUAACUUCGGGAAACCGGCGCUAAUACCGGAUGAUAUUCUGAACCGCAGGGGUCAAAAGUGAAAGACGGUGUUGGUGUAACUUAUAGAUGGAUCCCGGCUGCAUGAGCUAGUUGUGAAGGUAAAGGCUUACCAAGGCUACGAUGCGUAGCCGACGGGAGAGGGGGAUAGGCCACACUGGAACUGGGCCGCGGUCCUGGCGCCUACGAGAGGCAGCAGUCGGGAAUCGUCCGCAGUGGGCGAGAGCCUGACGGAACGGCGCCGCGUGAGUGAUGACGGUCCUCGGAUCGUGAUAAUCUGUUAUUAGGGAUGAACAUAUUUGUACGUAACUGAGCACUUCUUGACGGUAACGGGUCAAGAAGCACCGGCUAACUACGUG
rnacentral:rRNA from 1 species